AUUGAACGCUGGCGGUAUGCUUUACACAUGCAAGUCGAACGGUAGAGGGGCAACCCUUGAGAGUGGCGAACGGGUGAGUAAUACAUCGGAACGUGCCCAGUCGUGGGGGAUAACGUAGCGAAAGCUACGCUAAUACCGCAUACGACCUGAGGGUGAAAGCGGGGGACCUGCAAGGGCCUCGCGCGAUUGGAGCGGCCGAUGGCAGAUUAGGUAGUUGGUGGGGUAAAGGCCUACCAAGCCGACGAUCUGU
rnacentral:rRNA from 1 species